rnacentral:snoRNA from 1 species
GGCCGAUGAUGUAUCAAUAUAUUUGCUACUCUUGAGCGAGUCUAUGACGACAUUUUAAAUCACCAAGAUCGCUGAGGUC